CAACCAAAAAAAAAUAAAGAAGAAAAGAAGAGAAGAAAAAAAGUACAUGCAGCCACAAAAGGAGGCGACAGAGAGCGAUGGAAAGAGAGGAGGGGAAGAGCAUGAACCGCGUGAACGGAGCUAGGAGCAGGAGGGAAAAGCCAAACAACUGAAACUCGGAACGGAACGAGCAAAGAAAUGGGGCGAGAGCCGAUUGAAUGGUAAAAUGCAGGCAAGGAAGUAGAGGAAGAAGCAGAAGGGCCAUGGAAUAAAUGUGUAUUUAAAACGGAUUUGUCGCCGGCUUCCCAAAAAAAAAGAAAAACAGAAAGAAAACAAUAACAAUAACACAUGCAUCCCAUAAAUCGGAAAUCAGGAAUCUGAAUUCUGGAUCAUUAAAUCUGCAUACGCCCAUGACAAAAUACAAUUCCUGUACAUUUGAAAUGUAAACUAAAUGCAUAUCUUAAAUGGAUUUAAUUAAUUUUCUGGAAACCUAAAUAAUCGGAUAAAAAUACCUCAAAUUGUUAAACGGAAAAGUGAAGUUUCGGAGUAAAUUUAUGCAUGGAUUUAAAACAAAAACAAUCUCAAGACGUGGAAUCCACGAAAUUUUGGUGUAAGAGCAUCAAAGUAAAAUACAUACACUCUUUAUUUGCGCAAAAACUACAUCUUUUUAUUUGCGCAAAGCGAACUCUCGCUCUGUCGUCUGUUAAGAGAGCCGCUCGGCAGCCCUCGACUCUGUUCUGAACAGCCACCGAGAGAGAACUCUGUUAGCUUACGUUCGCCCGACAGCCAAAAGAGGCAGAAUUCUGUUAACUUACGCUCUUGCUCUCUCACUCAGCGCAGCUCUGUUAAUGAAUUUUACUUUCUACACGGGAACUCUACCCCAGAGGCGAGAAUUCGGACCCCGAGAAAUGAGAAUUCGACACCAUGUAUCUGUAAACGCGUAGAAUCACCAUUUUUUACGCGUACCGUGUAAAAUGUUAGCCAACAGCGAGUGUUUCAAGCGCUCAUACCGCCUAUACCAUUUUCCUCCUCGUCGCUGAUGCCAUUUUCGUUUCAACUUUCGUCGCAAGCGGUUCGUCGCUCCUACUUGGUGUGACUUUGUUGUUGACGCUCCGCGGCAGACGGAAAGCGGGAUUUCCCAAGGAAGUUCGAACAAACUGAAAUAUAAAAAAAAUUAAGUGAACGCCGGCUAAAACUGUUUCGCGAGUUCGGUUUCAAAACUACAAAGUCAAGUUAAAAAAAAAAAAAAAAACAAAAACAAA